rnacentral:tRNA from 1 species
GGGUUAGCGGUCUAGUGGUAUGAUUCUCGCUUUGGGUGCGAGAGGUCCGGGGUUCGAUUCCCCGCUAACCCC